AAAUUCAAGUUUGAGCUUGGAGGAGUAGAUCUUCAAUAAUUUAGGUUAAAUUUUGGAGGAGUAGAUUCGGUUGUAAAAUAACUUUUUUUUAGCAUCUAUUAACAAUUAUCCGAUAAAUGGGAUGACAUGUCAUUUUUAUCAAAAUAUACAAUAUGACAUGUCAUUUUUUACUAGGUAAAUGGGAUGACAUGUCGUUUUUUUGAAAAGACUAGAUUACCCUUAUUAUGUUAGCGCUCGCAAACGGCAGUUAACGGAUUGGUGGACGGCAGAAGUGUUUCGUCAACUUAGGGUAUACGAGUGAUACACUUGAAAAGUAUUGUAGCAUGUUUGAUACUGGUGUCAGUUAAGGGUAUAUGACUGAUAAUUUCCCUUAUAAAAAAUUAGAGUCAAUUUUUUUUUGAGUUAAUAAAGUCAAAUGAUAUUGUAGUCAAAAGGAGAUUUUGGUUCUUUUAUUAAAAAUUUGAGGGUUUACAUUUCCUCAAACCUUGGGGAUGUAGGUGACUAGGCGUCAUUUUCCUUAAAAAGUAGUUAGUUUAUAAAUAAUGCAUCUAAGGAAAAUACUUCUCCAAUUUCAGAAAAAAUGAUAAAUGACCAAUUAACUGUUGGUGGUAAAUUUGUGGAGAAUGACAAAUGUAGAGAAAUACAACAAUAAUGGUGGAACUUUAUUAUGUAAAGUAAUGUGUUUACAACUAACUCUGUAUGUAGGAAGAAACUGCAGAAAUUUUGUAUGCUUCAAGGCACGUUACAAUAAGUCGCUUUCCUUAAGACGUUAUUUGCCCCCACCAAUUGAGUGAUGCACAUGGGUUAAGCAAAUACACCUCCAAGAUACAAUGAAGCACUUGUUUGUUUGCUUGCGUUGUGCAUCGACGAAAGCAAACCAGAAUACUCUUGAAUGUUGCAAGCCUGCCAAGAAACAAUAUAUUGUUCCUGCAGAAAACAAUAUAUUGGAAUGUGAAUGUACAAAAGAAAUGGGUGUUUUGUGUUGAAAUUCGUACUAGAAAGGAAUGCUAAGAAAAGAGUGGUGUAGGAUCAUUCAUUUUUAUGUCUAAAUGGCUUAAACAUGACCCCUAUUUAUAGAUAUACUUGUGCCCCCUCAUUUGGGUUAUCAUCUUUCAUGAUACCCCUUCAUUCAUGACCAUUGGAUCUAGAUUUGAUUUUAAUCAAUGGUCCAAAUUGAAUCAUCACCAUUUCAAAUGAAAUGUCACCAUGAAAUGAUGUAUCUCUAAGUGAAAUGUUGCCAUGAAAAGUUAUAUCAUUUAGUAAAAUGAUACCUUUUCUACAAGACACAAUUAAAUGGACAUGUCCUUACAACAAGACAUCAUUUAAUUAGACAAGUCUUUAGUGAAAGGUACCUUUUCUAUAAGGCACAAUUAAUAGGACAUGUCUUUACCAUAAGACACAUUUAUUGUUGAAAAUGUUCCAACAUUAACAACUUAAUUAAGAAUAGAAAUUUAAAAGAAUGCAAGAAGAUACCCCAUACCUAUACUAACAAAGGUAAUAAAAAUGAUGAUAUCAAGGGCUAGCUCCAAUAGGGGUAGCGUUACCAAAACUUAGUUCUUAAGUUCGAGUCUCAUGCAAUAUGCUUAUGUGUUUACUCGAUAAAAAUUAUUAAAAAAAAGCAAAAGAUUCUUAUGUCUUGAUUAUAUUUAAGAUGCAAAUUUAA
rnacentral:lncRNA from 1 species